ensembl:lncRNA
AAAUAUCCCAGGAUGCAUUUCGCAUUUCGCAUUCCUGUUUUAAAUUAUCAGUGUGUAAGCUAUAAAAUAGGCUAUAUAGGAACAUUUUAAAAACUAUAACAAAGACGGAGGCCUAUUCAACAUAUUUGCAUACUAUUAUUUUAAAAUGAAAGAGGGGUUUGUUUUACAUAAUUUGUUUAUUGUAUAAGUCGCUGAUGGAGGAAACCCAUCGCAACGGAAAUCCCGGUCGGAUCCAUCUGAUUGGUGUGUGUGUGUGCGUGUGUGCGUGCGUGCGUGCGCGUGUGUGUGCGCGUGUGUUCUAUUCUAUUCUAUUCUAUACAGUGUUACCCUUUACGUUUCAUUUGAUAAAAACGACAGUGUUACCCCUUAUGUUUUUUUUCCAUGAUGACUGAUGAAAAACAACAGUGUUACCCCUUAUAUUUUAUUUGACAAGGACAAUUAUUUAUUUAUUUUCAAAUAUGUUUUUUUUCAUGACGACCAAUAAAUUACGACAGUGUUACCCCUUAUAUUUUAUUUGACAAAGACAACAGUGUGACCCCUUAUGUUUUUUUUCAUGACGACCGAUAAAAAACGACAGUGUUACCCCUUAUGUUUUUUUCAUGACGACCGAUAUAAAACAACAGUGUUACCCCUUGUGUUUUUUUUCAUGACGACCAAUAAAAAACAACAGCGUUACCCCUUAUGUUUUUUUUCACGACGACCGAUAAAAAACGACAGUGCUACCCCUUAUGUUUUUUUUCAUGACGACCGACAGAAAACGACAGUGUUACCCCUUAUGUUUCAUUUGAUAAAAACGACAGUGUUACCCCCAAUGUUUUAUUCGAUACAUUUCGACAGUGUUACCCCUUAUGGAUUUUUCAUGACGACAGAUAAAAGACGACAGUGUAACCCUCUACGUUUCAUUUGAUAAAAACGACAGUGCUCUAUAAGGAAUAAUAAGGAAAAAGAGUUCACGUUGGGAGAAGGCUUGAGGAGUCUCAACAAAAAAGAGGAAGUCCGUCUUCUGACUUGACAGCUAGUGGCUACAACAACCAGACAACUGUCUACUGCUCUUGCCCUUAUGUUUUUUUCCCAUGAUGACUGAUAAAAAACAACAGUGUUACCCCUUAUAUUUUAUUUGACAAGGACAUUAUUUUAUUUUUUUUGAUAUAUGUUUUUUUUCAUGACGACCAAUAGAAAACGACAGUGGUAACCCUGUCGACGUUUUUGCAGUGAUCCAAAUCUGAGCUGUUUAGAGUAUUAACCUCCGAACUUAUCAAUGCACCAUCAAGACACUGAAUAAAGUCAACACAAUGGUUAUACUUGACUUUAUAAUUCGCAUGAAAUAGAGAUAAGAGUCUUCCAACAGAGGACAUCAACCGGACUUGAACCCCGGUCUCCAGGGGGUAAGCUCACAGCUCUCUCCACAUCCCACUGAGAUUUAUAAUUUAAAUUUGCCUGUGGUUAUAUAUGACAAUGCAAUAGACAUGAUAUCAUUACGUUUAAAAUUAACGAUAUUGUGGUUUCCACAGAAACUGAGCCGCGGCCGCCAGUGGGUUCGGCAGAGUACACUCCACUGCACCACUGAGGCGAUGACAAUACACAAUGAUCAAUCAUCAAUAAAGAGGAUAUACAUGACAUUAAAAUAAAUUGAGCCGCGGUUGCCAGUGGGUUAGGCAGAGUACACUCCACUGCACCACUGAGGCGAUGACAAUACACAAUGAUCAAUCAUCAAUAAAGAGGAUAUACAUGACAUUAAAAUGUAUGUGUGUUUUUCUAUUAUUUCCCUUAUGUUUUUUUUCAUGACGACCAAUAAAAUACGACAGUGUUACCCCUUAUGUUUUUUUCAUGACGACCGAUAAAAACGACAGUGUUACCCCUUGUGUUUUUUUUCAUGACGACCAAUAAAAAACAACAGCGUUACCCCUUAUGUUUUUUUUCAUGACAACCGAUAAAAAACGACAGUGAUACCCCUU